rnacentral:rRNA from 1 species
GACGAACGCUGGCGGCGUGCUUAACACAUGCAAGUCGAACGGAAAGGCCCCUUUGGGGGUCCUCGAGUGGCGAACGGGUGAGUAACACGUGAGUAACCUGCCCUUGACUUCGGGAUAACUUCAGGAAACUGGGGCUAAUACCGGAUAGGAAUCCUUGCUGCAUGGUGGGGGUUGGAAAGCUUCGGCGGUUUUGGAUGGACUCGCGGCUUAUCCGCUUGUUGGUGGGGUAGUGGCUUACCAAGGCUUUGACGGGUAGCCGGCCUGAGAGGGCGACCGGCCACAUUGGGACUGAGAUACGGCCCAGACUCCUACGGGAGGCAGCAGUGGGGAAUAUUGCACAAUGGGCGGAAGCCUGAUGCAGCAACGCCGCGUGCGGGAUGACGGCCUUCGGGUUGUAAACCGCUUUCAGCAGGGGCGAAGCUUUUGUGACGGUACCUGCAGAAGAAGCACCGGCUAACUACGUG